AGAUGAAAAAAAAAACCACACAGGUAAUAUUUUUUAUUUCGAAGGAAAGCAGUAGGCUCUGAGUGCAGAGGAGGAAAGGGGACAGAAAGGGGAGAAAAGGCAUGGUGGUCAGGGCUCUUGGUCUCAUAGCUAGAGAAAAUCAUCAGAAGGUAUUUGUAUAAAUCCAAAGGCUCCCCGGCCAAGCAGAUGUUCAGAGUAUCAUAGCUCCGGGCUUGGAGUUCUUUCGGAUUGUCCCUGGGGAAACGCUACAUCGUCUGAGAAAUAAGAACAGUGAUGUGGAAGGAGCAACUCGUUCUUCUUUGUGCGCAUUCUCUGCUUUUCUUUCUCCUCUGCCCCAAUCCUCUCCUCGCUCCUCUCUCUGGAUUGCCCCCAUAGGCCUCCUUGCCACUUGCCCACUCCUUCGGAAGAGAUCUGAGGCUCUCGUCCAUUUCUUUGUGAUUCCUGAAGCCUUCGUGGACUUUUGCCUUCCAACCUGGGCUUGUUAUCUCUUACUGGUUAGCAGGGAUUGGCGUCCAGUAAAUCCCAGCAGCCGUUCUCUUUAGCCUGUUCAUCGUAUUUGUACGUGGUUUUCCUGAGUUGAUAAACCCGCGGCUGUUUUUCUCUUCAAGUUCCCCCUUCAGUUUCUGUGCUAAUGAACAACUUCCUGCCUUGAGGCUCUGGUAAGUGCAAUGAAGGCACCGGGAGUGCAGAGUUUAGCCAGGGCCUUACGAGACCUUAACCCAGCAUUGUGUGCCCGUUGGGUGACUCUCCUUUUUGGACUUGGACGAAAGACUUAUUAAUACUUAAGAGUAUCAGCUUUUUCCUCAUAUGAAGACUGUAUAGCCACAGGAGGCUCAGCUGCCAUCAAGGUUGGCAGUUGUUCCUUCCAAAGUCCUCUCUGAUGCCUGAUUCUCAUUGGGCCAACCCUACGACUGCUCGCUUUGUGACACAGCACUAAGAAUUCUGUCUGUGCAUUCUCCUCAGUCUCCUAGUCUAACAAUAGCAGACUCAGUGAAUAUCUUGUAACAGGUUAGUGUUCUAUUAGUUUUACAAGCUUUCUGGGAUUCUGUUGUUUGUUUGAUAGAUUUUUUUUUUAAGUCCAGUUUGGGGAUGAUGUUUUCUCUGCUUAUUUCAAACUUCUGAUUAGUUGCCUUAACCUCAAUUUCUUUCUACUUGUAUUGAUGGCUUAAAAUUAUUCACCUUCCCCCACUGUCCCUCUGUCCUGUACAGUGAGUCAGAUCGCAUGCCCUCCCCCAUCCCCGGCUCUAUCUAAGUGGUCCAAUUUUCUGGUUUUUACUGGAAGUCAGAUCAAAACUACUUUUCCCCCCUUGAGAUCUAACUCUAACCCUCUGGGAGAUGUAAGUGUGAUAGAGUCUUAUUAUUAAUUUGUCCCACAGGUAGGCUUUGAUUUAUUUUCCCCUUUCCUUAACAUUUCGUUAUUCUUUCAAACCUAUUCUAUCUAGCAAUUGAUGUCCCCACCUGUGUGCACUACUCCUAGUACUUGAAGUUAAUAGCAAAAUCUAGUUCAUCUUAUUUCACAUGCAACGUCAAUUCCCAAUUCUCAAUAACAGGAAAUUCAACAUCAAACACCCAUGUACAAACUUUAAAUCAGCCUGAAAAUCUACAUGGAUGGCCAUCUUAAGGAAGUUCCUCUCAUUUCCCACUCAUUGAAUAAUUCUUUAAAAUGAUCAAUUUCCCAAGACUCUAGCUGACUUGUUUGGCAUAAACAAUUACCUGCGUGGAUGGAGGAUAGUUUCUCUAAACCAUCAAACCAAUACAUUAUCAAGUACAUCUGGAUGCUGGUCAACAGACUGACUUAGAUACACAAUACAAGGACAACUGGCUUUCCAUUCCAGAGAUGAUGCAGAUUUUUCUGCUUUUGCAAGAUUAAACAGAAAUAUGAACUUCUGCCGCAACCUCAAAGGUUUGCAGACAAGCAGGUGCGGGGACCUCGCUGAUCUUGCUCUAAGUCGAAAGGAGGAGUAGAAAUUGUGCCAUAAACAAUUCUCUAUUGUUUGCAUUUCCACACAACCACUGUCGUUGGAACACAGAAUGCAGAAAGUAAAAGCAUCUCAGAAUUCCUGUAAGGUUUAUAAGCCCCUCUGUUAGGCUUUGUCCUUUUGUGCGGAGUUUCCUUUAUCACAGUCACUAUCAUUUUCUCAAUGUAAUGAUUACCUUUGAAGAAGUUGGUGGUGUGUGUGUGGGAAGAGCUGAACUUUGAAGUCCCAUAGCUUGAGACACCAAGGUGGAUUUCAUAGCUUCUGGAUAGAGCAUCGGUGAACAUUGAUGUAUCUUUGUGACAACUAAACUUGGAGUAUUUUAGGUUAAUAUCCAGGAAUGAUAUAACUGGUUAAUAUGGCGAACCAUCUAGCUUCGUGAGUUUUGCUGUCAACAACUAGAGGGUACACGAAUCUCUCGGUAAUUACAGAGCUAGCCUCCUGAACGACUUCCAUGAUUAAAAAAUUUCAUCAUCAAAGGUACCCUAAGAAGCAAGAAGUUCAGCUAUAUGGUGGAUCAAGACAAUUAUUAAACUCAGGAAAGAAUGAAAUUAA